UGGGGAAUUUUGGACAAUGGGCGAAAGCCUGAUCCAGCAAUGCCGCGUGUGUGAAGAAGGCCUUCGGGUUGUAAAGCACUUUUGUCCGGAAAGAAAUCCUUGGCUCUAAUACAGUCGGGGGAUGACGGUACCGGAAGAAUAAGCACCGGCUAACUACGUGCCAGCAGCCGCGGUAAUACGUAGGGUGCAAGCGUUAAUCGGAAUUACUGGGCGUAAAGCGUGCGCAGGCGGUUUGCUAAGACCGAUGUGAAAUCCCCGGGCUCAACCUGGGAACUGCAUUGGUGACUGGCAGGCUAGAGUAUGGCAGAGGGGGGUAGAAUUCCACGUGUAGCAGUGAAAUGCGUAGAGAUGUGGAGGAAUACCGAUGGCGAAGGCAGCCCCCUGGGCCAAUACUGACGCUCAUGCACGAAAGCGUGGGGGAGCAAACAGGAUUAGAUACCCUGGUAGUCCACGCCCUAAACGAUGUCAACUAGUUGUGGGGAUUCAUUUCCUUAGUAACGUAGCUAACGCGUGAAGUUGACCGCCU
rnacentral:rRNA from 1 species